rnacentral:lncRNA from 1 species
UACUCCAGUUACCCGGAUCCCCUGGGACCAGGAGCCCACCCGCAGCACCGUAACUAGCUGGUUUCCUUUGCAGGGUUGGUGUGGGAUUGGACACGGAGCCGGGGUGCGUGGAUAUGCUGACAGACGCCCUGGCGACCCCCAGUUAAGGAGGAAUUGGAGGGCAGAGGAUGCAUCUGGGAACAAAAGGUCCCAGCACGACAGACUGCCCCGCGGUCCCCGCGUCUCGGAACCCUCCCCGCAGCGCUCCCCACCUCUCUUUUCAUUUGAAACGUGGCAGUGGCACGUGCGAAGGCCGGACCGAACGGCAGCCCCGAAAGCCGAGGGCCAGCGACGCCCGAGCCGUCCGAGAAGGCGGGAGACUCCGGGCCGGAGCUGGAGGGCGCUCCCGGCUCCGCGGGCUCCCGGCGCGGCCCGCGCCCCCCCGCAGCGGCUGGAGCUGGGCUAUAAAUAGCGCGGGGCGGGGCGGGGCGGGGCGGGCGGGGGGAGGCUCCCGGCCCUCGGCUCCGCGGGGAAGCCGGCGCCGCGGGCCGCGUGAACCCCCGGCCGCCUCGUCCGUGCCGCCUCCCCCUCUGCCCCCGAGCUCGGGGUAACACCCGGGACUCGGCCUAGAGGCAGACGCGCGCACCCGCACCCGCACCCGCACCCGCAGGCGCGCACACGGGUGUUUGGGCCGUGUAUCCCCCUACCCACUCCCCUCCUUCCUUCGAACGGCUUCAACCCAAACCUUAAAAUUAAAGCCAUCCCCAAAUUUGGUCUUGGGGAUCUUGCUGGCUGUCGGAUUUCGGUGCAGCGUUCCCUCCCCCGCGCUGCUGCUGCUGCCGCUUAAGGACAGUUACUUGCCCCGGGAGGGAACGGUCAAGUGGAAGCUGUGUGUGGGCGUGCGUGUGUGUGCGCGCGUGUGUGCGCGUGUGGCUUCUUUGGGGCACAUGCACACCCCGCCGUAGCCUCCGGAUCGGCAGUCCCGCCGCCGGGGCUUGUCCCUGCCAGCCAAGGACUCCACAAGGAGGGAGUCCCCGGUCCCCGGCAGGGCAGCCUGCGAGCGGCUUCGGUGCUGGGCACGCUCGGGGCGGAGGAAGCCCGGCGAGGAGCGGGGUCCUCCCACGGAGGGGCCGGAGCUGCCCCCCGCCGCGCCCCCCGCCCGGCCCCCGCGCCCCCAGACCCGCCCCCCCCCCCCCCCGUGCUCUGCGCACCCGACUCCGGGAGGCGGAGGGAGGGGCGCGGCGCCCUCCCGGGCCGCGAGCGGUCACGGAAUCUGACACCCGGACAGGCAGCUGGUCCCCGGCCAGGACGCCCCGCGCCUUCUCAAAUGGAAACAGUCUCUCCCAGGGAACCUGCCCGAAUUCCCGGUGGAAUCUCACCUGAGCUUUGGCUCCUGGCGCAUUUCACCCAGGCCGCAUCUACCAUCACUUCGAGGCAAGGAAGGCCCCCGAUGGAGCGGGGCUCUUGGUGGCCGAACAAGGUAAGCUCUCGACUAAGGUGACAUUGACUGGGGGGGGGGGGGGGGGGGGGGGGGGAGACUGCUCGGAUUUAAUGGGGACCACCCUCUCCCAGGCAGGAUGGUGAAGUUAAGUUUGUCUUGGGCUGCCACUCCUCCCCUUCCCCCCUUCCGGGCCUCUUUCUGCUUUACCUUUCCCCCACCCCU